CAAAAAAGCCUCCUGCUCAUUGCAGGGGGCUUUUUUA
rnacentral:misc_RNA from 1 species